rfam:Salmo salar isolate Sally breed double haploid chromosome ssa14, whole genome shotgun sequence.
UGUAUCCACUACUGUAAGUCACUCUGGAUAAGAGUGUCUGCUAAAUGACUAAAA